rnacentral:lncRNA from 1 species
AUAAACUUUAAUCUAAUUUAAUUUUAAUGAGAAAACCAUGAAAAAUAUGAAGUGAAUUAAUAUAUUGCAACAAAAAAACAUAAAAUGUGAUAUCCAAAAAUAGCAUAAAUUUAAUAUGAAUAAAUAACUAAACAUGUCAAAAUAUACAUAAAAAAUUAUAUAAAUUUACAAUACUUUUAAACUCAACAAAUUAAAAUAAAAACAAACAUCCAUUUUUGUUUAUUAUCCUUCCUUUCUCCCUUCUUUCAUUCUCUUUAUUUUUUUCUUUCAAACAAACCCACUGGUCGAGUUUAAAAUUUUUAUGAGGGGCCAAAAUUAAAUUGUAUAUUUUUACGAUAGUAUAAUAGCCAAUUUUGGCCCUAGAAUAAUAAAACAAACAAAACCCAAAUAACCAAAUAAAAAAGCCCAAAUUUUAAGUCCAUUUACAACAAAUAUGUGGCCCAACAUUUUAUGGCCCAAAACAGCCCAAACAAACUAAACCCUAGCCCUUUGCAGAGAAGAGAAAACAGCAGCAGCCCUUGCCCCAAGCAUGCUGCUGCCGAACUGUUGGUCUCCCCUCAGCCACCACGCCUCUAUCAUGGCCGUUCCACGCACUUCUGAGAGCCUUCUAACACCUGCUACAAAUUAAAUGCCACAAAAGUAGCAAAAGAGACAAGCAGAAACGACAAAGGAAAUAGAAAUAGAGGGUCGUUUGAAUCGGCUUUUAAAAGGCCAAAAUACACCUUUGUAAUUUUUUUUUUACGGACAUUGACCAAACAAAAAUUAAUUAAAAGAAUAGACGAUUUCGAAAGGUGAUUAUUGUUGAGUUUCGAUUUUCAUCCUUUUUUACUUAGAUUUGUUUUUCUUUAUUUGUUUUUCAUUUUUUUACACACAAAACAAUAAUAAAAAUAAGAAUAAUAAAAAGUACCUUUGAUUUGCUGUUCAGGGUGUGCUCCGGUACGCUCUCGUCGAUCCGUAGGUCGCCGAACCCCCCUGGGGUUUGGCCAUUGGCCGUGACGGAGAGAAAGGGAGCUGAGGGGCCCCUCCGCUCUUCGCGGUACCGCAAGUCGUGAAGGCCCCGAUUCCGUACCCGUUCGGAGAAGGAUCGAAAGGGGGCCCGUUUCACCUAACACCGCCCGCCGGUGUGGGUGUGGAGACACCCUCCGAUGAACCCAUGGCCGGCCAUGGGGAGGUUAAGAGGAGAAGAGAAAGAGGGAGAGAGCAAGAAGAACCCUCGCUAUUUUUUAAAAAAUACUAGGGCUAAAAAUGAAACAAACAAAAAAUUUGAGUCUUUUAUCAGGCUAUAAAACGGCAGCGUUUUGAGGGGUGAUCUAAGUGCCGAAACGGCACCGUUUUAGGGGUGCCCUUUCGCGACUCGACCCAUAUCCAAGGGGAUCCACGUGUUUCCCUUAAAUGGGAAAUUUCCCACUUUAGUCCCCCUUUUUUUUUGACCCUUAAUUUAGCCCUAAUCUGCCUUUUUUUCUUUCUUUUAAAUUUCGCCUCACUUAUUUUAUUUAACUUCUGAUUUGGUCCCUGAUCUGGACUAAUGAAACGCAGCGUACAGACUUGGGACAUUACUCCAGUUGGUCUUCGCAAGUCUCAGCGCGUUUCUAUUUAGUCAUUGGUGGCCCUUUUUUUUAUUUAUUUCAAAUUUAUACCCUGAAAUUUUGAUUCAUUUUCAUUAUAUCCUAAAUUUAUUUAAUUCAUUCUCUUUACAUCUAUCUUAAUUUGUUUUAAUAUACUGUUUGUUCAUAUCAUUAUUAUUUAUUGUAACUCACUUUAAUAUGUUGUUUAUUCUAAUUAUUACUAUUUAUCUCAACUUACUUUAUGUAUGUAUUAUUAAUUUUAUAAUCCUUACUUAUUAUAUUUGUAUAUAUACCAUCUAUUUCAAGUUUCUAUAUGUUUGCUAUUAUUUCAAAACUGUUUUUGCGGUAUAUUUAUUUCAAAUUAUAUUACGUUGUUUAUUCUUUAGUUAUUAUGUAUUAUGUAUUUCUAAUAAUUCUUUAUCUAUUAUAUCUAAAUCGUUAUUAUAAAGUAUAUUUAUAUUUUCUAUUUUUAAUCCUUUUACGUAUUAUAUAUAUAUUUAAAACUUCAUAUUUAUUAUUUUAAAUCAACUUAUAUAUUAUUUAGUUCAAAGUUAUUUUUAUACCUUAUUUCAAACCCAUUCUACUUAUUCCAUAUUAUUUUACACUUUAAAUUAUAUAUACCAUCCAUUUUAAAAUUAUUCAUAUGAAUCUUUUGUAACUUGCUUUAUAUAAUAUAGAUUUUAAAAUUCUUUUACAUCAUUCAUUUUACAAACUCGCUUUAUGUGUCAUGCAUUUUAAAUGGUUUUAUUAUUUAUUGUAGGAUUUUAUAUAUAUUAUCAAUUUCAAAUCGUUAUAUCUAUUUUUAUAUAUACUAAUUAUUUCUUUGACGUAUUGUAUAUCACCUAUUUUAAUUUUUCUUUUACAUAUGCUCUAUUUUUAAAUUUUUUUUGUGUACAUUAUUGAUAUUAAAUUUCUUUUUUUCACAUUAUUUAUUUUAAAUUCAUUUCUUAUCAUCAUAAAAUUUGUUUUAUACUUUAUUCAUUUCAAUUUGCUUUAUAAUUUUUAAAAUGGUUAUAUCUUAUUUAAUUCAUUUGUCUUUGAUUACUAAUGGUUAAUGCCUAAGUGAUAUAUGUUAUGUGAAUGUUACCAUUGUAUGUAUUAUAUUUGGUUUAUUCGUAUUUUCAUUAUUGUCAUUUGCUUGUAUAAACAUUGUACUCAUGUUGUAUUAUACCAUGCUCUACGAUAUAUCUUUGUUUUAUCUAGCCUAAGUCAUAUCAUACAUUAAACCCAACACAUUUAUCCAAUAAAUCAUCUUAUUUUAAUCUAACAAAUACACGCCGUUUAAAUAUCGUACUCGUUAACAUUCAAAAACAAAAUUUCCCAAAUAAGACAAUGUUUUUGCAUUUUAGAACAUCGAGGAAUUGUGCCUUAACUUACGGGGUUUCGAUUUUCUCAUUGUUUCUAAAUAGUUAAACAUCCUUUUCGAGUUUUGAAACACAUGAAAUUCUUAUUUAAAUUAAAGGACGACCUUGUGCUCGAGAGUUCAUGGUAUUGUGUCCUAACUUACGGGAUGUGAUACUCCGAUAUCUCGAGACGAGGAAAUCUUUAAUAAUCGCUUUGAGCUAAUUCAAGAAUUUUAAAAUCGAUGUUAAUAAAAAUGGUGAUAUUUCAAACUCAUUCCAGAUUUUCAAUUUUCGACACCAAGACACUAACUAAUCAAUUCGGUACUAAUUUUUGGGCGUGUCGAGGGUGCUAAUCCUUCCUCGCACGUAAUCGACUCUCGAUCCCGUUCCCUCGAGUUUCGUAGACCAAAAACACUGUUUUAGUAAACUAAAAUAUUUUAUUAAAACAAAGGUGACCCGAUCACACCUAAUAAGGAUCGGUGGCGACUCCCGUUUUAAUUUUCGUUUUCAAAAUCAAGUCGAUCCAGCUUUCGAAAAAAAUGGUUUCGACAGAUAGUAAAAAUGAAAUUUUAUUAUUUUAAUAGCCUAUAUAUUUAUAAUUUUUAAAGAGUUAAUUAAAAUUGUAUCAUUUUUUUAGAACAAAAUACAAAUUUAUUAUUACUAAAUUAAAAUUUUAUAAAUUAUAAAUGACUUAAAUUAAAAUUUUAUCAUUUUAGGAGAAUGGCCGUUGGACCUUUGUUCCACCACUUAUCUCACCUGAUUAAAAAUAAUGAAUAAUAAACAAACCCAUGUUUUAUCUUCAAAGGAUAGAGAAUCUAUAAUAAUUACUUUUAUAAUGCCUCAAAAUUUAUAUACGUGAUUUGUUAGAUUUUAUCAUAUAAUUUAGUACCUACUUUAAUAGUUAAAGGUGUGGAGUGUGUGUUGUGGGUUUGAUGUUCAAGUUCCUUCGUGACAAUAAUUUUUUUUUAUGUUUGUGUCGUUUAAGUGGUUGAGUUUUGAGUAGAUUUAAAUACUUGAAAAAAACUGUUGAUAAUAGUGGAUUAAUUGGAUUUUAUUUUUAUCUUAAGAAAAUAUUAAAAGGUUUUUCUUUCCCACUUUUCGCAUUUUUUUUUUCAUUACUGUGAUUUUUGGCACUUCCAGUAAAGAAAAACAAAGGAAAUGCUCCUUCCCUUUUUUUGAAUUUUGACUUUUGUUUCAAUUGGUGUUUGCUUUUGUUCCAAUUGAUUUGUUCUUUCUCUCGUGGGUGGUGUGUGGUGCAAUUGCUGUUGCUUUUACGAAUCUGAUUUUAGGGUAUUUGAGAGUAAGUGGGUUGGUUGAUUUUUUUUAUUAAGCUUAUGAAUGAUGUUUCUUGUUUUUAAAACGUGGAUUAAUCUUGCGGAUUUUUGGUGGUUAGGUGGUGAUUAAGGAACUCGAGACUUUCCUCUUGCGAUAUAGUUGUGUUAGGACAAUUGUUGAUUUUUAGGUGAGUAUUCCAUCAUUCGAAGAGUUAAUUCUCGUUUUAGUAAUGUUAUUAUUUAUGUUUUAUUUAAGUGAGUUCUUAGAAUAAUUGUGGAAUUGUGGCUUAAUUUGUUGAGUAAAUCUUGUUUUUAGGUUCGAGACAUUUAGUGGUUGCAUUCACAUCAAAACCGAAUUAGGUGUGUAUCGAAAAAUACAAAAAACAGCAAUGGACGAAAGCCGAAAAAGUUCAUUGUCGACGUCACACGGGUCGUGUGACAGAACGUGUGCCACACACGGUCUGAGCUAUUUGAGCCGUGUGGGCCCAAAAUUUUGAAUUUUCCCUUAUGGUUGUAUAUGGCGUUCCGAUCAAUCGUUGGCCUUCCAUGGGGUCUAUUUGUGAUCUGAUAAGCUAUAAAACACGAAAUUCGAUCAUUUGUUAGCACUAAGUCUAUUAUCUGUUGAGUAUUUGAAACGAUAUAUAAUUAGUAAACUUUAGCUAUGUGAAAUCUGAGAAACUGUUAUAUAUACUCAGUAUCUACUAUCUUAUGCAUGUAUCUUGUAAACAUAUAUGACAUCUGUUAUAAUCUGUAUUUGUAUUUGGGAUGAGUUAUGAUAUGUGAAGAAAGUGCUUUUGUAAAAGGUGAUAACUCGUCUAUUUAUCUGGCAGUCCAACUGCAACUAUUCUGUAAAGUAUCAUAUGGAUUAUAUAUGUAUUUGUUCUACUUCUUUAAGAAUUUGUUUAUGAUAAAUUUGCUUGAUAUGUGUAAUGGCCAAUUUUUGGCCUAAGCAAAAAUCAAAAUUCAAGUCCAUUUUACAAUAGCCCCAAAAAAUCAAAACAGGCCCAAUUUCCACAUUGAAAGGCCCAAACCUAAAACUAAAAGACCCAAAUAAUACAAAAACCCUAAAAGCCCACCUAGCCCAACACACAAAAUAUCUCAACAACCUUAAGUCCCCCCCUCUUUUGUUCUGCGCCGCAACCAUGAAGCAACCCCAUACCCCCACUACAACAGCCCCAUACCCCCACUACAACAGUCCCAUACCUCCACAGUCCUCGUACGCCACACCCCACGCGCAUGCCAACAGGCUCGGUACCUGCAAAAAGAAAAUAAAACAACAGCAGCAACAGAGCAGUAGCCAAGAGAAGAAACAAUAUUUUUGUACUAUUCUUUGGAACAUUCGGCUAUAAAAAGGCCAUUCAAACUGAUGUAAAAGGGGUUGGAAAUUUUUUUUCUCCAAAAAGAAAAUUAAAACAGAAACCUGGUUAAUCCUCAAAGCAGCAAGCAUACAAAAUCAAUCUCAAACGCAAAACCAAAACAUUGCACCAAAUCAGAAGAUACGAGGUGCUAAAAAUCGAAAGUUAAAACUGAGGUGAUUAUUGAUUUUUUCCGUUCUAUUUCUUUUCGAUUUUACGCGCAAAAAUCCAAUUUUUUUUACUUAGAUAUACAAAUAUAAUAUAAAUAAUAAAAAGCAAAAAAAAAGAGAAGAAAAAAUUUAGAAUUUUUACCCCUCCACGGUGGCCGGCGCCGGCGCCGGCAGACCUCCGGCGGCCGUCCGGUGACCGGCCCCCAUGGCCGGAGCUCCCCCUCCCCUCUCUUCUUUCCCCGUUCCCUAUUUUCUCUCCCUCCUUUUCUGUUUUUUUUUUCUUUCUUCUGUUUCAAAUGAAAAAAACAAAAAAAAUUGGCUUAUUUUGGACCCCCCUUUAAAGCAGAAAACGACGCCGUUUUGAUGCGGGUCGGGUCGACCCGACCCGUCCGACCAGGGGAUCCGCGUGUUUUUUAAGGGAGGGGCUAUUUGCGUAGUUGGCCCCUCCGCUUUUUCAACGUUUUAUAAUCAAGUUUUUUUAUAUUUUAAAUUCGGCCCCGCUGUUUUGCCCUGAUUUCGUUUUGGUCCCCCACGCUGCGCAGCGUUUUAACAUCUGGAUUUAUUGUGCUUUUAACCCUCCUAGUUACGUGCGUGUUGUAAUUAAGUCCCUCCUCUUUAUUUCCUUUUUAAAUUGACCCCAUAACUUCGUUAUUGUUUUAAUUUUAGUCCUUCUUCGUCUCUUUUGUUAUUUUUAUUAAAUAUCAUCAUUAUUUUUGAAUUAUUAAUAUCAUUAAUAUUGUUAUUAUUAUCAUUAUUAUUAUUAUGUGUUAAUAUUUUUUUUGCUUCAUAUGUGUAUGUAUAUAUGUAUUGCUUAAUAUUCAAUAUUUUUGAUCCCACUUUAUUUAAUAUUUCAUGAAUGUUGUGUUUGUUUCUUCUUAGUUCAAUAUUAUCUUUAUUAUUAUUAUUAUAAUCAUAGUACAUGUUUUGUUAUGUAAUUUAUAUGUUGUAUGUAUUAUCAUUUUAAUUAUAUAUUAUAUACAUGUUGAAUGUGGUAUUGUUCAUGUAUUUUAUUAUAUAUGUACAUAACUUUAAUAUAUUAUAUAUAUAAGUAUAUUUUUAUGUAAUAUUAGUACUCAAAUAUGUAUUUAACCUUAAAAUCAUAUGUGUAUAUUAUGUAAAUGAUUUAAUAUUAUAUUUCUUUUAUACGUGUUACGUACAUAAGUUUUUAAUAUUAUAUUUUAUAUAUAUUAUUAUGUAUAUUUUAAUAUUAUUUAGGUAUCUAUUUUUUUACUAUUAUGUGUAUCUCUAAUAUUAUACGUUCCUAAUACUAUUAUUUAUAUAUAAUUAUAUAUGUAUAUAUAUGUGUAUGUACGUGUGUAAUGUGCAAAAAUAGUUUUAUUAUUAUAUUUAUUAUUUCUAAGGUAGGUAUGUAUUAUAUAUGUUCGAUAUGUGUCAUAUGUAUUUUAUCGUUAAUAGUUAUGUAUUUUUACUAUCUUAUGUAUAUACUUCUAACACUAUAUAUAUAUAGUAUAUUUCCAACACUACUACUAUUUAUAUAUAUAUAUACAUAUAUAUAUUACAUAUGUACUCUUAAUUAUCUUUAUAUAUAUAUUUAUGAUAUUCUCAUUGUGUUCUUGUAUAUGAUACUAUUGUUACAUUUAAUAUCGCGCGCAUUGUCAUUUUUUUAUAUCAUUGUUGUAUAUAUUAUAUGCCUUGAUGUAAUUCCAACUAUUAUCUUUCAUUUCCCGCCCAUUUUUAUAUAUAUUUCCCCGUUGUUUAUUAUUUUAAAAUAUUUAUUCGUGUUUUAUUAAUUACAAUAUAUAAGGCAAUGUAUCGAUUUAACACUAUGUCGUUGAUUUCAUCGCUAUGUUGGGUGAACGUCAAUCGACUCGUGUUAAGACGGUAUAUCCUUCUAAAAAAUCAAAAAUUUCAAACUUCUCGUCUUUUUAUCGGAUCACGAUUAAAUUUUAAAUUGAAUUUGUAUUUUUGAACAUCAAGACAAUACGUGUUUAGGAGAUACCAAUUUUUGGGCGUCGCGAGGGUGCUAAUACCUUCCUCGCGCGUAACCGACUCCCGAACCCUAAUUUUUCUCUGACUUUUAACGUAGACCUUAACUCGGCCUUUUCCUCGUUUUUAAAGAAAAAUCUAAUAGGUGUCCGAUCACACAUAGAAAAAGGAUCGGUGGCGACUCCCGGUUUAUUUUAAAACCAAAUUUUAAUUUCCAAUUUCCUAAUAAAUCGCCACAAUUUAGCGACCCGAAUCUACAAAAUUUUUACGUCGCUACAAUAUGCAUUAACUGAUUUAAGUUAUUCGUUAUGCACUGAGUUUUGAAAAACUCACUUUAUGUUUAAUUGAUAUUUUCAGGUAAUCCUCAGACUUAGGCGGUUUUGGGCGACAGUAGCUCGGUUAUAUAAAUUUAGCUUUUAUUUUAAUUAUUUUAAUUUGGGAUUUAAGCGUUUUGUAAAUUUUGGACGUUUUGGACUGUUUGGGAUUUUUCACAUUAUUUAUCGUUUCUGUAUUAUACUAUUUAAAUAUUUUUAGGGAUCCACUGCAAAAUAAUAAGUUUUCUAAAACAUAAACAAACAAUGCUUUCAGUAAAAUUGUUAAAGAAGAUUUAGUUUUAAAAGAUUCAGAAUUUUAAGUUAUUGUCGGUUUUGAAAUUAUACGAAAAUUAAAUUAUCAACUGUUCUAUAUAGUAACUCCAGAUUCGACCAUAAUAUCUAAGGACGAAUUUAAAGUGUUACACUCUUAUUCUGUUUUUAUAUAUGUUUUAGAUAUAUACAUAUAUGUUUGAAAGGUUGACAAAGUAUGUUAAAAGGAUUUGGUAAUAACCAUGUCUUUGUCAUACAUGUCUUUUUCUUUCUGACAUGUUUUUAUUUUUAUUUUGUAAUUACGUUAUAUUUAAUAUUAUUGAUAAAAAUUUUCAUAAAUUAUAUUUUAUUUCAUUUAUUUAAAAAGUGAGUAAAAUAAUUUUUGUACGACAGAUUAAAGAGUAAAUUGAUUAUUUUUAUUAAAAAAUUCAUUUUUUUCUAUUGUUAAAAACAAAUGUAAGUAAUAGAAUAACUAAACAAUACACAUGAUGUACAACGUGUACCUCAUAAUGACGUACUUUGAUCAAAUUUUAACAGAAAUAAUGGAUGAAAUUUUUAACCAGAAAACUAAUUUACUCUCUGAUCAAACAUACAAAAACUGAUCAAACAUACAAAAUGAACUUGUCCAUUUUUUAAAUAGACCGGAUAAAAUGAAACCCGACUAUCUUUAUGAUACUUUAUAUAUUUGUAAAAGAAUGAAAAUUAAAAUAAGAAAAAAAUAUAUUCUAGUGGUUUUAGAAUUUUAUAGGAGAGUGAAAAUGAUAGGAGUAGGUUAACAAGAGAUAAUAUUUUUAUUUAAAAAUCAAAUCAUAAUAUAACAUUAUUAUUUAUUUUAUAAAUUGAUUUUUUUGACCUUAUUUACUCAAUAAAACAUUUUAUAAUAGUAUGUGUUAUAUUUUAGGUAGCAAAUAUUGUGAACCUCAUAUUGUACUUUAUGGAUAUUAUAAUAUAUUUAUAAAAGAGUUUGACACACCACCUUCAAUGAAACUAACUAUAAUGUGAACCCAAAGUUAACUCGAGCCCUAGAUCUAGUUUACAAACUUUUGCUUAGCGAACUUCAAAAUAGGGCAUCUCCGUCAAGAUUACAUGAAGGCCAUGCAGAGAAUCAAAGUAAUUGAUUGCCAGUCGCCUUAAGAAAUCUCACCUUAGGAUGUAACAUUGCCAUCACUGUCAAGAUUAUCAAAUCAAACUUCCCCGUCAACAGCCUUAAGACACGUAUGUCCCCUACUAUAAAAUAGCCAUGCAGAUGUAAACACUCCAGUUCUAGAACCCCAUAACUCUCCCAAAAGUAGAGAAUUCUUCCCAACCUACACUCCAUUCUCCUUAUUUCAACCAUCAUCUCGUUCCCUUGUUCACCUCACUGGUUAAUAAUUGGUGCAAUGAGUGUGAAGAGACAUGGUGCAUCUAGGUAGUAGUGAUUCUCCUAGCAUUAAGUUUGAUCCUCUCAAUGAUCGAGUUACGAACCCCAUUGGUCAUAAAAUCAGAACAAAUACAGAGUAAACCAGGAAAUCAAACCAAGACCCGUUGUAUGUUGGUUAGAAAUAUCCCUUACAAAACCAAAAUCAACAAAACCUUUACCAAAAAAUCCACACCACUAGUUUUACCAAUAUCCGCAUGGUAUUACGACCUCCAAAACUUGCACCACAUCGGAGCAUCACCAAUAAACCAAGGUUCUCAACAUCGUCAAUCCAAUAAUCAACAUUAUCUAGACAUACAAGAAAGAAUAAGAGUUAUGGAGGAGCAAGUGUCCUCUUAGAAAAAGAGAUGCGAAGAGCAACAAAAGUUUAUCUAGGAGCAGAUAGAUAGGCAAAGACAAGCAGAUGAAAGAAAUGCAAAGCUCAUUAAGGAGCUCAAAGCAAAUAGGAUGAACUAAAAGAAAAAUCUCAAGCGUAGAAGGGAAGAGUUCAUCCUUGGAGCAAAACGAUCGCUAGCAUUCAAGUCAAGGUAAUGAAAAUUUAGUAGAUGAGGAUGUUGAUAUGGAUAAUAGAGUUGAUAGUUAUGAUGAGGACUAUGAUGAUAAUUAUAGCUGCUCUAAUUAAAAUACCUUGGAGCAAAAAGUAGAGAAGUUAAAGAAAUAUUUAUAGGAUUUUCAAAAAUUAGAAUCUUCUGGAUUAGUGAAGAAGUAUAGAAAUUAGCCGAUAGCUAAAAAAGUAUUAUGACAUUAUGUUUCCCCCAUGUUUAAAUUCCCCAAAAUGAUGUAUGAUGGUCAAUGAGACACCUUAAGACCAUUUGACCCAUUAUGUAUAUCAUAUGAAUAUAUGUGGGGUUUCAAAUAAAGUUAAAUGUAAUGCAUUUUCAAUGACAUUAAAAAACUCAGCUCAAGUAUGAUAUCUAGAACUACCAUAACAUUCCAUCACGAAUUUUGAACAAUUGGCAGACCUAUUUAUGAGCAAGUUCUUACAAAUAUGACAUUAAAGCAAUCUCCUACGUACCUCAUGUCUAUCAAGAAAUGUGAGGAUAAGCUUUUGAGAGAUUUUGUAAAAAAGUAUACGACGACUAUGGUCACAAAAGAUGUUUUUGAGGAAUUUGUUGUUCAAGCUUUCAUGUUCGAAACAAAUUGCCAGUUUUUGAAAUAUAAUUUGAUUGAUAAACCUCCAGCCAACUUCUCGUCAUUAUAUGAGAAGGCUCACAUUUUUGCUGAAAGUGAUGAGUUAGAAAAAGCUAAAGUGCAAGCGUAAUAAACUAAGGGUCAUUUUGUUUACAUGUAAAAGGUUUUACGGAAAAUGUUUUCUGCACUUUCCUGUGUUUGUUUCACAAAAAAUAGUUUAGUCAAUGGAAAAUGACUUACAGGUCAAGGUAAAUAAGCCAUUUUUCCUGUAAAAUGACUUACCCUUUUAAAAAGCGUAAGUCAUUUUCUAGAAAAGGGCUCGUCUAUAGAUAAUUUUAUUUUUAUAUAAAAAUUAACUUAAAUCAAGCUUAAUAAUAAUUUAUUUUUAUUUUUAUUGAUAAUAAAUUUUAUUUUUAUUUUUAAAAAUAUUUAAAAUAUUAUAUUUUUCAAUAUUAUUAAACAUACAUAUUUAAUUAUUUAUAUUUAGUCAUAUAAUAAAUUAUUAAUAUAAUAAAUAUAAUUUAUUAUUUUAAUAAAUUAUUUAAUAUUUUAAUUUUAUUUUAAUAAUAAGUUUUAAAAAUAAUAAUUUUAAAUAAAAUAAUUCACAUAUUAUUGAAAAUAUUCAAUAUUAAUAUUUUAAUAAUACAUAUUUAUUACAAUUAUAAAUAUAUUAAUAAUAAAUUUUUUGUAGUAUAAAGGUUAAAAUAUGUCAUAAAUUUAUAUACACCCCACAGAUUUGUAAUUUAGUUUUUGUACUUUUAUUUUCAAAAAUUUUGUCCCUUUACUUUUCAAAUUUGAAAAUCAAGUCUAAUUGUUGCAUCGUUAAAUUUUUUUGUCAAUUUUGUUAAUGUCACAUUUUUUAAUAAAAAAUACUCACUUAGUAAUCAUGUAAUUAAAAAAAUGACGUUGCAAUGAAUCUGAAUUUAACAUAAUAUUUUUAAUAUAUAUGCAAAAACAAUGUAAAAUAUAAAAUUAUAGAUAAAAAUAAAUUCAAUUAAACAAUAAAAAAAGUAAAUCUCAAAUAUAUGUUUGUUUAAUUGAAAACAACUUUUAUAAAAUAUUUUAAAAAAAUCUACCAAACAACAGAAAAUAUUUUAUACAGAUUCAUCCAAACACCAGAAAAUAUUAGCUUUUCCAGGAAAGUAAAUCAUUUUCCAGAAAUCAUUUUCCGAAAGUCAUUUUCAGUGAAACAAACGGAGCCUAAUGCACGAACCUUAGGAGAUUUCCACAAUUCUCUGAAAGAUAGGCCCCCAUUUCAUCAUAGAGUUGGAAGAAUUCGUUCUCAACAUUCGUAUUCGGGUGUACGAAUAUUGAAGUAUUGUGUUAACCUUAGGAGGCGACGUCUAUUACACAAUUACACCAAUUAGGGCUGAUUUUCUCCAAAGGCAGUGGUUAUUCUAUGACACAGUGAUUCUUUUAUUUGUUUACGCUCAAUUUAUUUAUUCUGUCAGUGCUAACUAUUUUGUUUUGUAGUAGUAUAUUCACGUACAAAAUAAAUACACUUAUAAAAUAUCUAAUACUUAAACAUAGACUUCAAUACUAUUAUGAACCUCCUAACAGGUUCCUGAAGGUCUCUUUAAAACUUUUAUUCGCCCGGGGAGGAGGGAGGCAAUUGUUAUACCUUAGGCAAUGAACCUUGUGAACCUCAUAGCAUAUCUCGCAAAUAUCAUAAGAUACCCAUAGAAGAGCUUGGCACGUGUUCUCCGAUGAAACCAACAAUAUUGCAGACCCAAAGUUAACUCCAAGCCUUAUGGCUAGUUUGCGAACCUUUGCUUGACGAACUUCAGAAUAGGGCAUCUUCGUUGAGAUUACGUGAGGACCACAUGGAAAACCAGAGUAAUUGGUUGCCAGUUGAACGUAACAUCACCAUCACUACCAAUAUUAUCAAAUCAAACUUCCACGCCAUUAGCCUUAAGUAACAUAUCUAUAUUUGUCCCCCACUAUAAAGAGCCAUGUAGACAACUCACAUACACUUGCAUAAACACUUGCUUCUAGAACCCCAUAACUCUCCAAACAAAUAAUUCUCCUUAACCUACACUCCAUUAAAUCAUCAUCUCCUUCUCUUAUUCACCUUACCAGUUAAUAAUAUGUAUAGAAUUGAUAUGUAUAUAAAAUAUUAUAAUUAAAAAUAUAAAAAUAUGUAUAAACCUAACAAAUAUAAACCCAACAAAUUUAAUUGUAUAGAAAUAUAUAAACUUAACAAAUAUAAAAAUAACUAAUUAAAAUUAAUAUUGCUAAAAAAAGUAAUAUCUACAAACUUUGGGCAAGAGAAUGAGAAUGAGAAUUUUGUUAAGAACUUCAGUAGAUAUAUAGGAAGUAUAACAUUAAAACAAACUAUAAUUCAAUUCUCCUACUAUAAUACUUACAAUUCUUAAUAUGAUAAAAGAAAUGUAUAAAAAUAUGACUAAGAUUUAUAAAAUAAAACUAAAGGAAAAAUAUUAAAAAUUAUUUUAAAAUAGAAAAAAAUAAAGUAAUUAAUAAUUCAUAUUAGAAAUAUGAUCACACUUGUAAGCGUUUGAAAAAAAUGUCUUUAAAAUAUAAAUUUAAAAUUUAAAAUAAUAUACAAUAAAAAUGAAACAUAUGGCUUGAAAUUAAUUAAUAACAAUAGAUGAAAUUGUUACGAUAUUAAAAUAAAAAAGUUUAGAUUAAAUUGUGAGUAAAAUGAAAUUUAAGCACAUAAAUACAUUAUAUUAAGAAUGCUAAAUGUACUAUAAUUGUUUAUCAUUGUAUUGUCAUCAAUAUUGAGUUACUGUCAAAGUUAACUUGUGGCACCAAUUCAAUUAACAACAUUUUCAAUAUUAGAAAUUUUAUCAUACAGGUAUGCACGUGGAAACCACUAUUUAGAACACAUAUAUGAGUUUAAAAAUAACAUAUAAUAAAUAAUGAAAUGUAUGGUUCGAAACUAAUUAAUAAUAAAACAUAUAUUAUGUUCUUAUUUCAAAACACCAACUUAGCCAAGGCAUGAAUAAUAGAUUAUAUUAUGCUCUUAUUUUCAUUCAAUAAUGUAUUUUAAAAAUAAAUCUUUUGUCUGUUUAACUCAGCCAAGUUGAUUUUAAAUCUAAUUGAAUUUAAGGUAUUUGUUGAACCAAGCUUUAUUUGACAAUUUAUUUUGAUAUACAAAAAAUCAUUUUAAACAAAACUUGAUAAAAAUUUUAUUUUAAAUGAUAUCUAAAAAGAAAAAUUGUUGAAUUUAUACUAGAAAAUGUUUUAAGGCCAAGUUAAUUAAACAACCUUUCAAACAUUUUUCAAAUAAGUUAAAAAUGCUCUAGGUCAAAAAGUAUCAAUUUGGCAUCGAUACUUUUUGUCAAGUAUCAAUAAAUUUUAGUUAAGCAUCGAUAAAUUCAUAGUUUUAUCAAUAACUUUUUCAGUAUCAAUAUGAAAAUGACAUUUUGUCUUUCAAAGUAUUUAUCAAGUAUCGAUACAAUAUCGAUACCUUCUACUUGGUAUCAAUAAAUUUCUUCAAGUAUCAAUAGUGGUACACUUUUAUCCAUACAUUUUUCUGUAUCGAUACAAAAUUGACAUUCUAACUUUCAAAGUAUUUAUCAAGUAUCGAUAUAUUUUAUUUGGUAUCGAUAUUAAUGGCUCUAAUGAUCGCUAAAUUGGACAUUAGAUGCUAAUAGUAUCGAUACCUGUAGAAAAAGUAUUGAUACUUAUUUUUGCAGGUGACAUUUAAUGCACUGGUUAUUUCAUCAUUAACUACUCUAUUCAAUAUUCCAACAACCAUAAUGAUUGAAAAUCAAUUUAGGAGUAUAAAUACCAUUUUUAAAAUGUUCUACAACAACAAGAGAGAUUAUCUAAGUUUAGAUUUCAAUCAAACAACCUUUGUGCUUAACUUUUCAUACUUUUUCUUGUACACACUUGUGAGCUGUCAUUGUUAUUUAUUUAGCUCAAGUGUUUUUUUGUUUCAUUUGUGCUCAAUUGGCAAACAAUCCAAUUUUGCAAGGGUUAAUUCUUAGUUUGUUUAUUUGUUUCACUAUUUAAGAGAGUUAUAUCUUAAGGUUUGGGUAGAAAACUUAAGGAAGUUGUAAGGUUAAACCUUAUCCUCAAAAGUAAGGUAUGAGAGUUGGCAAUUGGGGUUGAACCUAUCUAAAUCGUUGUGUUCAAUUGUUCUAUUUUUUCUUUCAAGCUUCCACAAUUUUUUUAAAAGUCAAUUCAUUUCCUCUUGGCGAUUUUGGAUUGAUUAAUCGAGCUAACAAUAUUGGGUUGUAUAAUUUUAUAUGGUUAGGUUAGGUUUAAUAUACCCUUUAGUAUCAAAUUGAAUAUUGAUGUUAAAUUUAGAUACUUAAUUGGGAUAAAAAAACUCAAGUAUUAAAUUGAAAAAACAAAUUUACAGUCACCAAAUUGAACAUUGAAGUUAAAUUUAGGUGCUAAAUUGAGACAAUAAACUCAGAUACCAAAUUGAGAUAAAAAAAACUUAUGUAUUAAAUUGAACAUUGAGGCCCAACUCAAGUACCAAAUAAUGUAUUGAUCCCUAUAUUAAGAAUACGUUUUUAAUUUUUUAUAAUCAAAUCAUAAGUAGUAAUUUAGAGGUGCCAAUGGGUUGAAUCGGGUUGGAUUUGGGUUAGGUCAAUGUAUGAUAUUAACACAAUUCAUACUUGUCCAAACUUGACAUAUCAGAAAUAUGAAACUCAAAUUUUUCAAACUUGUCUAUAUUUGUAAAUAGUUAACUCAUGCUUGUUUUAAAUUUGCCCAUAUUAUUAUUAUUUUUAAAAAUCAUGCUAUUCUUUGAUUUAUUAUUUAAAAUUUUAUAUUUUUUCGUUGGAUGAGUCUUAGCUUGGUUGGUAUCAAUAUUGUUGUCAAUGCACAAGACGUGAGUUUAAGUGCGCUGGAACAUGAUGAGGAGUUAUGAGUAGUUUUAAGCAGAUAAUUUAUCAAAUUUUUUAUAUGUAUACAUUAUAAUAUUAUACAGGCUUACCUACAAAUUAGUACAUAAACUACUACAUAAACUAUACUCAUUUUCUAUCUUAGUACCUGAAUUUUUUUUUGUCACAAAUAGUGCUUAAACUAUUUUUUUCCCAAGUUGGCAACUCUAUUAAUCAAACUGAGAAAGUUUAUUUUAAAAAGAGUUUUAGCACAGAAAUUUGUACCACUUUUAAUACUAACAAAAAAAAAAGUUUAGGUAACAACUUGAAAAAAUGAUAUUGCUAUUAUUUUGUCCUUUUUAAAAUUAAACUUAAUGCUUUACCUAACCAAUGUACCGACUUGAAAAAAUAUAUUUUAGGCAAGGGCAAAGCAGGAUUAUGAUAUUGAGGAGACAAAAUGAGGUUUUAAAAGUUUGGGGAGCUAAAUGUAAAAAAAAAAAAAAAAGCCUAAAAAGGAUUUAAAUUAAAUAAUUCAUAACUACAAUAAACUAAAAUUAUUAUUUUACCCCUCAAUUAAAUUAAAUUAGUGAAGUCCAUCCCCAUCGUGGCUUUACUCAAAAGCUUAGGAUUGUUCCAUAUUUUGUGGCCCGAAACAAAUUGAAUUCCAUUUUAACAAAAAUACCCUUCUAUUUUAAAACACCAACCAAAGACGCCCGGGCUAAAACUCUUCAGAAAAAUAUUAAAAAAAAAAUGGCCAAGGAGCUUUGCUCUGGGGUAACAGCUUUGUUAUCCAUAAACACUUGGCAAGGCCAGCAGCACCACCCCCAUUGGGCGAGGUCCCAGCUGUCCCCGCUUCCCAUCUCAGCCACUCAUCGACUCACUAAGCACUCCCGGUUUCGAGUAGUCUGCCAAAGCGUCGAGACACAGGCCAAGACCGAGAUAUAUGACCCGGAGUUUGGUGCCAAAGUUGGGCAAGACCGUCUCUUGAAGGUCCCUGUUUCUAACAUUAGGAAUUUCUGCAUCAUAGCUCAUAUUGAUCAUGGGAAAUCAACUUUGGCUGACAAGUUGCUUCAGAUGACGGGUACUGUACAGAAGCGAGAAAUGAAAGAGCAGUUUCUUGAUAACAUGGACUUGGAGAGGGAAAGAGGCAUUACAAUCAAGCUUCAGGUGACUUUUCGGAUUGCACAACUUCUAUUGCUAUUAAAACCCAGUGCUGCGAAGUGUUUUGAUGGAUUUCUACACCCUUAUUUCUUGUCAGUAUAUUACUAGGCGUAGCUUGGUUCUACUUACAAAGAGUGGGGGGGGGGGGAAAUACAGACAUGCUUCUCUCUUGUGCUUAUAAGGGUUCGGUGGGAAGAGUUUAUACAAUUCUAGUUCAAAACAUCCAUCUCAGUGGGUUGAAGCUCUAAGCAGUCCCGUACCAUAGUGAAAAGGGAACUGAGUAAUUUAAUCUCUAUACAUUUGAUAUUUGUGCAAACAAAUAAAAUUGAUAACAGUGUUAGUGGAGAAUCAUCCAACGUGAGCUUUUGAAAUGUAACAAGUAUAUGAGCUGGUAUCUUACAAAGCAUAUGUUCUUAAUAUAAAAAAUUCUUUCAUUGUUUUAAUUCUAUCUAUAGGUCUAGAUUGUCAGAUUUCAGAAGUCCACAGUUUUCUAUCAACAUUGUUAUCAUUUUACUCAUUUGGAUAAUAUUAAAAUACAAGUGCUAAAUUACUCAGUUGUAUUGUAUAUGGACUAAAGUGCAUCUUUGAUUAUAUUAUAGGAACUAACUCUACUUUAAUCGCUUCAGUGUAUCUUUCCUAUCUGCACAUUUGUUCUUACUUCUUCUUGCU